rnacentral:rRNA from 1 species
UACGUAGGGUGCAAGCGUUGUCCGGAAUUAUUGGGCGUAAAGAGCUCGUAGGCGGUCUGUCGCGUCGAAUGUGAAAACCCGGGGCUCAACCCCGGGCCUGCAUUCGAUACGGGCAGACUAGAGUUCGGUAGGGGAGUCUGGAAUUCCUGGUGUGAGCGGUGAAAUGCGCAGAUAUCAGGAGGAACACCCGUGGCGAAGGCGGCUCUCUGGUACGUGACUGACGCUGAGACGCGAAGCAGUGGGAGGCAACAACGAUGAUAUACCCACCGAG